GCGUACAUAGGUGCAAGUGGCCUCGGUAGUACGGAGUGCUCUAGCGUUGUCCGGAUUGAUUUGGCGUAAAGCGAGCGCAGUUGGUUAAAUAAGUCUGAAGGAAAAGGCAGUGGCUCAACCAUUGUAUGCUUUGGAAACUGUGUAACUGGAGUGCAGAAGGGGAGAGUGGAAUUCCAUGUGUAGCGGUGAAAUGCGUAGAUAUAUGGAGGAACACCGGUGGCGAAAGCGGCUCUCUGGUCUGUAACUGACACUGAGGCUCGAAAGCGUGGGUAGCAAACAGGAUUAGAUACCCGGGUAGUC
rnacentral:rRNA from 1 species